CCUGUUGGACAGUUCAGCGGAGGUCCAGGUGGUGAAGGGAAACAGAGAGUACGUCCUCAGCUUCAGAGACAUGUACCAGAGGAACCUGAAGCAGAACACCAAGAGGAGGGUCCGGCGCCGGCCUCGCCUCGCCACCCAGGCCCCGCUGCAGGAGGUCAGGGGGGACCGGACCUGGACCAGCUCUUAGUCCCAUCACAGUAUAUACCUGCCAGUAUAGUCCUCCACGACUUCUGUAGUCCUAUUCAGCCACUUGGUAACAACCAUCGUUUCUCAGACACGUCCACUCUUCAGAAAUCACCAGUGGGGUCACUGCUGAGGAUUUAAUGUCCUAGAACAAAACGUGAUCCGUCUCUUUGUCUCAACCACAGACCUUAGUUCAGAUAGUUUUCCUAAAUCCUAUGGAGAGAUCCCAUUGGCUCUGAGCCGAGGGAAACAGGAAGUGGAGACAUGCUGACUCACUUCCUGAUUUAGGACUCACCGCUCUAUAUCCCUGCCUCCUCAACGUGCCACUGUGGACGAGGCGUCGUGUCGCAGGAAAGCAACACCUUUCAGAGGGUCCUGGUCCCCUGGAGCCACCAACGCCAACACCAACAAAUAUAGUCCUUUCAAUCAAUACAAAAGUAGUGCAAAAAACCACAUUAUGGGAACAAAUAGGGACAUUUCCAAAAGGUCAAUAACGUUUUUAUAAAAUCUAGAUUCCUCUCACCUCGCUGCAGGUGUUUCAUUAAUGACGCUCGUCUGUUACAUAUUUAUCUUUUGAUGGAAACCGUAUUUAUAUAUUCAUCUCCUUGUUAUAUAUCUGCAGCAGUUAUACUUUAAUAGCAAUAAGACUUUUACAGUUCCAGUAUAUUCUUAAAAAAAGAUCAAAUAAACUUCAGUUUGGAUCAAAAA